GUAGGUGGCAAGCGUUGUCCGGAAUUAUUGGGCGUAAAUCGCGCGCAGGCGGGGGUUUUUAAGUCUGAUGUGAAAGCCCACGGGCUCAACCGUGGAGGGUCAUUGGAAACUGGAGAACUUGAGUACAGAAGAGGAAAGCGGAAUUCCACGUGUAGCGGUGAAAUGCGUAGAGAUGUGGAGGAACACCAGUGGCGAAGGCGGCUUUCUGGUCUGUAACUGACGCUGAGGCGCGAAAGCGUGGGGAGCAAACAGGAUUAGAUACCCUGGUAGUCCACGCCGUAAACGAUGAGUGCUAAGUGUUAGGGGGUUUCCGCCCCUUAGUGCUGCAGCUAACGCAUUAAGCACUCCGCCUGGGGAGUACGGCCGCAAGGCUG
rnacentral:rRNA from 1 species